rnacentral:tRNA from 1 species
AAAGAAUUAGUUAAAAUAACAUAAAUAUGUCAUAUUUAAAUUACUAUAUUAUAGUAUUCUUUU